ACGGAAGGCAGCAGUGGGGGAUAUUGCACAAUGGGGGAAACCCUGAUGCAGCGACGCCGCGUGAGUGAAGAAGUAUUUCGGUAUGUAAAGCUCUAUCAGCAGGGAAGAAAAUGACGGUACCUGACUAAGAAGCUCCGGCUAAAUACGUGCCAGCAGCCGCGGUAAUACGGAAGGUCCGAGCGUUAUCCGGAUUUAUUGGGUUUAAAGGGAGCGUAGGUGGAAACGUAAGUCAGCCGUCAAAUCGCGGAGCUCAACUCCGUUCAGCGGUUGAAACUGCGUUUCUUGAGUGCGCAAGAGGCAGGUGGAAUUCGAGGUGUAGCGGUGAAAUGCUUAGAUAUCUCGAAGAACUCCGAUUGCGAAGGCAGCUUGCUGGGGCGCAACUGACGCUGAGGCUCGAAGGUGCGGGUAUCAAACAGGAUUAGAUACCCUGGUA
rnacentral:rRNA from 1 species